CCUUAACCAAAGAAGCAGCCAGCUUGCUGGAAGCGGAAAAGGGAAAGGCUUAGUGGCGGACGGGUGAGUAACGCGUGGGUAACCUGGCCCAUACAGGGGGAUAACACUUAGAAAUAGGUGCUAAUACCGCAUAACAACAGAAAGCGCAUGCUUUUUGUUUGAAAACCAAGGUGGUAUGGGAUGGACCCGCGUCUGAUUAGCUGGUUGGCGGGGUAAAGGCCCACCAAGGCGACGAUCAGUAGCCGGCCUGAGAGGGUGGACGGCCACAUUGGGACUGAGACACGGCCCAAACUCCUACGGGAGGCAGCAGUGGGGAAUAUUGCACAAUGGGGGAAACCCUGAUGCAGCGACGCCGCGUGAGUGAAGAAGUAAUUCGUUAUGUAAAGCUCUAUCAGCAGGGAAGAAAAUGACGGUACCUGAGUAAGAAGCCCCGGCUAACUACGUGCCAGCAGCCGCGGUAAUACGUAGGGGGCAAGCGUUAUCCGGAUUUACUGGGUGUAAAGGGAGCGUAGACGGCAGUGCAAGUCUGGAGUGAAAGGCGGGGGCUCAACCCCCGGACUGCUCUGGAAACUGUACGGCUGGAGUGCAGGAGAGGUAAGUGGAAUUCCUAGUGUAGCGGUGAAAUGCGUAGAUAUUAGGAGGAACACCAGUGGCGAAGGCGGCUUACUGGCCUGUAACUGACGUUGAGGCUCGAAAGCGUGGGGAGCAAACA
rnacentral:rRNA from 1 species